GAUGAACGCUGGCGGCGUGCCUAAUACAUGCAAGUCGAGCGAACGGACGAGAAGCUUGCUUCUCUGAUGUUAGCGGCGGACGGGUGAGUAACACGUGGAUAACCUACCUAUAAGACUGGGAUAACUUCGGGAAACCGGAGCUAAUACCGGAUAAUAUUUUGAACCGCAUGGUUCAAAAGUGAAAGACGGUCUUGCUGUCACUUAUAGAUGGAUCCGCGCUGCAUUAGCUAGUUGGUAAGGUAACGGCUUACCAAGGCAACGAUGCAUAGCCGACCGGAGAGGGGGAUCGGCCACACUGGAACUUAGACACGGUCCAGACUCCUACGGGAGGCAGCAGUAGGGAAUCUUCCGCAAUGGGCGAAAGCCUGACGGAGCAACGCCGCGUGAGUGAUGAAGAUCUUCGGAUCGUAAAACUCUGUUAUUAGGGAAGAACAUAUGUGUAAGUAACUGUGCACAUCUUGACGGUACCUAAUCAGAAAGCCACGGCUAACUACGUG
rnacentral:rRNA from 1 species